CCUACGGGUGGCAGCAGUGGGGAAUAUUGCACAAUGGGGGAAACCCUGAUGCAGCAACGCCGCGUGAAGGAAGACGGUUUUCGGAUUGUAAACUUCUGUUCUUAGUGAAGAAUAAUGACGGUAGCUAAGGAGCAAGCCACGGCUAACUACGUGCCAGCAGCCGCGGUAAUACGUAGGUGGCAAGCGUUAUCCGGAUUUACUGGGUGUAAAGGGAGCGUAGACGGCUUGGCAAGCCAGAUGUGAAAGGCUGGGGCUCAACCCCAGGACUGCAUUUGGAACUGUCAUGCUAGAGUGUCGGAGAGGCAGGCGGAAUUCCUAGUGUAGCGGUGAAAUGCGUAGAUAUUAGGAGGAACACCAGUGGCGAAGGCGGCCUGCUGGACGAUGACUGACGUUGAGGCUCGAAAGCGUGGGGAGCAAACAGGAUUAGAUACCCCAGUAGUC
rnacentral:rRNA from 1 species